UUAAAACUUAGUAUAUCAGUAAAAAUAAUGUAACUGUUGUUUUAUUUUUAGUUCUCAUAUAUUUUUAUUUUAUGAUAACUAAAGAAGAAGGUAAUGAAGUAUAUGUUGUAGUUAAGGAAAUUUAUUUUAUUUUAUUUUAUUUUUUUCAUUAAUGGAGAGAGUUACAAAGGGCGUCAACAACUAUUGAACCAUUGGUCCAAACUGAUUUUCUCCGAAAAAAAAAAGGAAACAAACAAACAAAACAAAACAAAACAAACAAGACAAGACAAAAAAAACUCUACAUCUUUCUCUUCUCUGAAGCCUACAAUUGUGCAUUUUGAUACAAUUUUAAAAUAUAUGUAUAUAUAUAUAUAUAUAUAUAUAUAUAUGUAUUCGAACAAAUAGAUGGUAAAGUAAUUUGGGUCCAACAAAAAUUCCACCUUACAAUGGCACAC
rnacentral:lncRNA from 1 species